AAUACAAAUUUAUUACUUUUCAGGGUACUGUAUAUAGGGUUCAACAAUGUGGUUCCGGAAGUGUAAAUCCCAUUCAUUUUCUCCAUAAGGAUUUUGAUUAUUUGCCAUAAUGUCUAAACCAUA